CAUGGGGUUGCACAAAGUUGGACAUGACUGAGCGACUGAACUGAACUGAACUGAAGCAUCCUAGCAUGAAAGUGAUUUGGUCAUAUGUUACAGUUGAGGAGGUAGCAGUGAAAAGAGGAUGAGGAUUUGACUUCCCUUGUCUCCGCGAUCACGACUCUGUGCCUGUGUGUGUACAAUGGGAGGUAGAGGAGCAUACAAAAUGAAAGGAGGAAGAAAGGGAUUCAGUGGCACGUUCAAGGUGAAUGAGUCAAUAACGUUCCUUCCAGAUUCCUGGGUCACAGGCUCCAGAAAGGCUUUGAAGAUGAAAAGGCACCCCAGGUGUCUCUGAAUUGAUAUUCCGGGGGUUUGAAAGGUAGGUGAUUUGAAAGGAGACGUCUGAUUUGGGUUUGGUUCUGUCUCUGCCACUACCUAGGACCUGUCUCUGCUACUAGGGAGUAAUGUUGAUGGAUCACUUAGCCCUUCACGAUCUGUGGUGACCAUUAAGUUUCUCCAGUAGAAAAGCCUCCUGGCCUGGGAUUCUCUGGGUCUUUCCCACAAAACUGCAGAUACCUUCCUUGUUUUGUUGUCCUCUGGGUUGUUGCCCAAGAGCAAGGAGAAGACCAGGACAUAAGCAAGUUUGGUGUGAUAUAUAGCCAAAGCUGCUGCUGUCA
ensembl:lncRNA